rnacentral:rRNA from 1 species
UGUGUAGUCAUAAUGCUUUCUCAAAGAUUAAGCCAUGCAUGUCUAGUAUAGCAAUUAUACAGGCUGAAACUGCGAAUGGCUCAUUAUAUACAGUUAUCGUUUAUUUGAUAGUACCUUACUACAUGGAUAACCGUGGUAAUUCUAGAGCUAAUACAUGCUAAAAAUCCCAACUUCGGAAGGGAUGUAUUUAUUAGAUUAAAAACCAAUGCCCUCGGGGCUCUCUGGGGAUUCAUGAUAACUCUUCGAAUCGCAUGGCCUUGCGCCGGCGAUGGUUCAUUCAAAUUUCUUCCCUAUCAACUUUCGAUGUUUGGGUAUUGGCCAAACAUGGUUUCAACGGGUAACGGAGGGUUAGGGCUCGACUCCGGAGAAGGAGCCUGAGAAACGGCUACCACAUCCAAGGAAGGCAGCAGGCGCGCAAAUUACCCAAUCCCGACACGGGGAGGUAGUGACAAUAAAUACUGAUACAGGGCUCUUUCGGGUCUUGUAAUUGGAAUGAGUACAAUUAAAUCCCUAACGAGGAACAAUUGGAGGGCAAGUCCGGUGCCAGCAGCCGCCGUAAUUCCAGCUCCAUAACGUUAUUUAAAGUUGUUGUGGUUAAAAGCUUCUAGUUGAACCUUGGGCCUGGCCUGGCCAGUUCGCCUCACCGCCUGUACUGGUCCGGCCGGGCCUUUCCCUCUGUGG